UAUUAUAUGUAUUGGUGUUCUCCUCCUUUGGUCCCUUGUGUUGGGAGAUGUGUGAACUUCCAUGGUCUGAGAGACUAUUUCCUUCCCCAGAUUGGGGAAUUUUCAGCAAUUAUUUCUUCAAAGACACUUUCUAUCCCUUUUUCUCUCUCUUCUUCUGGUACCCCUAUAAUGUGAAUAUUCUUCCGUUUGGUUUGGUCACACAGUUCUCUUAAUAUUCUUUCAUUCCUAGAGAUCCUUUUAUCUCUCUCUACCUCAUCUCUGUAUUCCUGUUCUCUGAUUUCUGUUCCAUUAACAGUCUCUUGCACCUCAUCCAGUCUGCUCUUAAAUUCUUCCAUUGUUUGUUUCAUUUAUGUUAUCUCUUCAGGAAUUCAUCUCUUGGCUCUUGGAUAUUUCUUUGUAGCUCCAUCAGCAUGCUUAUGACUUUUAUUUUGAUUUCUUUUCCAAUAAGAUGGGUGAUUUCAGUCUCAGCAGGCCCUCUCUCUGGUGUUUGAUGGAUUUUGGACUGAACAAGGUUCUUCUGCCUUUUCACGGCAAUGGAAGUGAUCACUGGCAAGUGGCACAUGUGUCAGCUGGGAUAACAAAGUCCCUUUCUGCUUGCUGGUUGCCUUGCCUGUCUUCGUUCUGCCUCUGCCAGUCCACCACAUACAUGGAGCAGCCUCUGGGUUAAUCCCCUGAGCUGCCAUGGGCAGGGCAGCUCUUGGGAUGUCCUAGGGCACUGGCGGGUUUGCAGGGAAGCAAGAAAAAAUCAGAAUCCCCACCACAUGCUGUACUUAUGCUUGGCUUUGAUAAACAGACAGAAGAAGUGUGUGCAGAGAGACAAACCUGAACUCAAAUAUGAAAGCAGUCUGACUUUUAGAAGUUGUGGUUCUAUGUUUGUAUCAAAAGGUAACUUUUGAAAAAAUCACAUCAUUGUUUUAAAAUUAUUCAUAAUCUGCCUUUAAAUAUAAGCAGAAAAGAUGUCUGAAA